UCUUUGGGUGCAUGCAAGUGUUGCCCAGAGUAUACAAACACAAACAAUUUUGCAAUGAAUUUUAGUCAAUUGUGCUUAUUUAUUUAAGCAAAAAAAACAAAUAUUCAAAACUUUCAACAACGGAUCUCUUGGUUCUCGCAUCGAUGAAGAACGCAGC
rnacentral:rRNA from 1 species